rnacentral:rRNA from 1 species
UACGGGGGGGGCAAACGUUGCUCGGAAUCAUUGGGCGUAAAGCGCACGUAGGCGGCCCAGCAAGCGGGGAGUGAAAGCCCUCGGCUUAACCGAGGAAGUGCUUUCCGAACUACUGGGCUUGAAUACUGGAGAGGGUCGCGGAAUUCCCGGUGUAGAGGUGAAAUGCGCAGAUAUCGGGAAGAACACCCGUGGCGAAGGCGGUUCUCUGGGACGGUACUGACGCUGAGACGCGAAAGCGUGGGGAGCGAACAGG